UUCUGAGAAUUUCCCCACAACCUGUUUAAAUUGUUUUGGUCUUUGUUUUAUCCUCUGCAGAGUAUUGAAUUUAGAUAAAUCCUUUGGUAAAUUAACAAUUUGCUUUUACUAAAUCGACUGAAUUGAGUCCUCUAAGUUCAAUUCCUUAGGGUUUUCCUUAAAUUUUCAUCAGUAUUUCCUUUUGGAGAGGGUGAUUGACUGUCAAAGCAACUAAAAAUGAACUACCUUGCUACUUUUCUAUUUAAUCUUUAUUUUCAUACAAAAGAAGCGUCAUGUAUUAUAAGUUGAGUAUUUUGUAAUAAAUGUAAGCAAUAUUCAGA
rnacentral:lncRNA from 1 species